UGUGCUAAGCGGGGAGCUAGUGGUGCCCUGUAACUCGCAAUCCACUACAGCGAGGCUGACCAGUCAUCUAGGGAAAUUUUUGAUUGUGAAAGUGUUUUUAAAAGAUGUUGAACAAAAGGUCUUGUGCAAUUGCAGGCUUUGAACCAUGUCAGGGUCGGAAGACAGCAGCAUUAAGAAGUUGUUAGCGAUGUGCCAUAAGGUAGCCUUUUGGGAGUUUU
rnacentral:SRP_RNA from 1 species